CUUGCCAGCCAAGCUAUUUCAAUGCCUAAAUGCCAUCAAAGCCCUGCAGCUACCUCCGCACGCCCCAUCUCCGGCAAAGGGCAGGGGGGAGCGCGGUGGGCAAUAGGUGCCCCCUGCUGGGGGGGGCAGCUUGGGGGAGGGGGGGGGAGCAGAGACCACCGGCUCCAGGAUCCCCUCUGCUCACUGCCACGGCUCCGUGGAGAGGUGCAGCAGCCCCCCGCACACCUUUCCUUCCCCAUGCCCUCCCGAGGAGGUGCCUGGGCUCCUCGCAAGUUUGGGAGGGACACUGCAAAGCUGCUGCCGUGCCCCGGGCAGCACGGCCCCCAGGGAGCAGGGCCACGCUUUUGUCCUGCUGAUCCCUGCCAAAAAUGAACACCCUCCACCCCCCCACGCGCCUCCGACACCGGCUUCAGCCCCAAGACUUACAGGAGAGCUGGUUUAACAGCCUGCUGAGCCAUCCCAUGCUCCUGCACCGAGGGCGAGCUCGUAGCUAAGAAAUGCUUGAGAGAAACAGGUUUCCCCCCGCCUCCCCCCCCCCUUCCCCAAACCACCCUCUUCAUUGGCACAGAGGGAAGCGAUAAAAUCUGACAGGAUUUAUUAAUAGCACCUCUCCCAUCACUAGGGAGCGGUGCUUCGGCACGGCUUCGAGCAUCCCAGCACGGGGCUGCUCGAGGCCAAAAGGCACCGACUUACUUUUGCCAGGGAGCAGGGACGGUGCCGGAGGGUCUGGGUGCCGGAGGAGGACACCGGCGGCGGCUCCGGGGCCUCCAGCAGAUGUUUUGCCGUGCUGGGGACACCGGAGAGGAGCAGAAGAAGUUGCGUCGCGCCGGAGCCAGGCAGAAGUGGGGAGAUGCUGCCAGGAGAGGCGGCUGGGGGUGUCCUUCGAGCAGGAGGGUGGGAUGCAGCGGUCCCCACUCGCUCAGAGCCGCUGCACGGCUGCUGCAUGUUAUUGCUGCCAUCUUCAGGACGGCCAACCUGAGCCGGAGAAAUACCCUCCGGGCUUCCCCAGGCCGCCACCUGAAGCGAGUCCCAGGAAAGCAGCCAUCCGCAUCACUGACUUUGAAACCCGGCCUCGGUUUUGCUUUUCGGGGAUGAAAAAUCCCAGUCCCCGGUGCUCCGAGAGCAGCAGGAGCAAGGGCGGGAGGCUGCUGCGGGGCGGGCCCAGCGCUGACACCCCCGCGUCGCCCCCGAAAGCCGGCUCCUUGGCAGCGCUCGGUGACAGGGACACCCCAGCAGGGCUGGCACGGGGUGACAACGGGGUCACAAGGUGCAUGGAGAUCACGGCUGCGGAUUCACAGGGGUCCGUGAUACACAGACACCGAGGCUUUAUUCCCUAAAUUUCCCUACCUGAUUACAGAUUACUGCCAACCACCACUAGCAAGUGUACAUAUAAUUAAUAAAACAAAUGUGUAUCGAGCCA
rnacentral:lncRNA from 1 species